rnacentral:rRNA from 1 species
AUUGAACGCUGGCGGCAGGCUUAACACAUGCAAGUCGAGCGGAGAUGAGGUGCUUGCACCUUAUCUUAGCGGCAGACGGGUGAGUAAUGCUUAGGAAUCUGCCUAUUAGUGGGGGACAACAUUCCGAAAGGAAUGCUAAUACCGCAUACGUCCUACGGGAGAAAGCAGGGGAUCUUCGGACCUUGCGCUAAUAGAUGAGCCUAAGUCGGAUUAGCUAGUUGGUGGGGUAAAGGCCUACCAAGGCGACGAUCUGUAGCGGGUCUGAGAGGAUGAUCCGCCACACUGGGACUGAAACACGGCCCAGACUCCUACGGGAGGCAGCAGUGGGGAAUAUUGGACAAUGGGGGGAACCCUGAUCCAGCCAUGCCGCGUGUGUGAAGAAGGCCUUAUGGUUGUAAAGCACUUUAAGCGAGGAGGAGGCUACUGAGACUAAUACUCUUGGAUAGUGGACGUUACUCGCAGAAUAAGCACCGGCUAACUCUGUGCCAGCCGCCGCAGUAAAAC